rnacentral:rRNA from 1 species
AUUGAACGCUGGCGGAAUGCUUUACACAUGCAAGUCGAACGGCAGCACGGACUUCGGUCAGGUGGCGAGUGGCGAACGGGUGAGUAAUACAUCGGAACGUGCCCAGUCGUGGGGGAUAACGUAGCGAAAGCUACGCUAAUACCGCAUACGAUCUAAGGAUGAAAGCGGGGGAUCGCAAGACCUCGCGCGAUUGGAGCGGCCGAUGGCAGAUUAGGUAGUUGGUAGGGUAAAGGCCUACCAAGCCGACGAUCUGUAGCUGGUCUGAGAGGAUGAUCAGCCACACUGGGACUGAGACACGGCCCAGACUCCUACGGGAGGCAGCAGUCGAGAAUAAUUCACAAUGGGGGCAACCCUGAUGGUGCAACGCCGCGUGGAGGAUGAAGGUCUUCGGAUUGUAAACUCCUGUCAUCCGGGAGCAAGACCUGACGGUUAACAGCCGGCAGGGUUGAUAGUACCGGAAGAGGAAGGGACGGCUAACUUCGUGCCAGCCGCCGCAGUAA